AACGCACAUUGCGCCCGCCGGCAUUCCGGCGGGCAUGCCUGUUCGAGCGUCAUUUCAACCCUCAAGCCCUCUUCAAUGCUGGGCUUGGUGUUGGGGGAUCGCCCACCCGCCCUGCGCCCAGCGCGCAGGUGUAGGGGGCGACCCCUGAAAACUAGUGGCGGUUCCGCCCGCGGCAGCCCUUGCGUAGUAGCACAAACCUCGCACGUGGAGCCCGGCGGCAGCCCUGCCGUUAAACACCCCCCACGAGACUCCUGUUUUGUGUUCCAUGAGUUGACCUCGGAUCAGGUAGGAAUACCCGCUGAACUUAA
rnacentral:misc_RNA from 1 species